GCCUAGGAAACCAGGCGAGCGAGCGGGCAGAGCUCAAAUUUAUAAUCUGGCACCUUCGGUGUCCGAGUUGUAAUCUCUAGAAAUGUUUUCCGCGUUGGACCCCAGUAAGUCUGUUGGAAUACAGCGGCCUAAUGGUGAGACCCCCGUAUAUGGUGCGGACGCCCAGCGCUUUGUGAUACAUUUUCGAAGAGUCGAGUUGUUUGGGAAUGCAGCUCAAAUUGGGUGGUAAAUUCCAUCUAAAGCUAAAUAUUGGCGAGAGACCGAUAGCGAACAAGUACCGUGAGGGAAAGAUGAAAAGCACUUUGGAAAGAGAGUUAACAGUACGUGAAAUUGUUGGAAGGGAAACGCUUGAAGUCCGACUUGCUUGCCGAGCAAUCGGUUUGCUCGCCAGCGUCCUUUUUCCGGGAUGGAUAAUGGUACAGAGAAAGUAGCAGUUUCGGCUGUGUUAUAUCUCUCUGCUGGAUACAUCUUGGGGGACUGAGGAACGCAUUGUGCCUUUUGGCGGGAGUUUCGACCUCUUCACACUUAGGAUGCUGGUGGAAUGGCUUUAAACGACCCGUCUGAAAUCAGA
rnacentral:rRNA from 1 species